rnacentral:tRNA from 1 species
GGGGCUAUAGCUCAGUUUGGUAGAGCGUUUGCAUGGCAUGCAAAAGGUCAGCGGUUCGAUCCCGCUUAGUUCCA